rnacentral:lncRNA from 1 species
UUUUUUAUUAUAUUUUUUAAAUUGUACACCUAUUUUAAGAUGAUUUAGUUUAUCAUUGGUCGAAUUAUUUCUUCUCUCUCUCCUUAAUCUUCCAGUUCUUUUCACUUUUCUCUUCCUCUUCUUAAUUUUCGAGUUGUAUUCGGUUUUUCUCUCUAAUCUUUAAGGGCAACGGCUCUCCCUAAUUUAUUGAAUUGUCUUCUCUUCUUCUCUCUAAUUUUUGAAUUGUUUUCUCUUCUUCUCUCUAAUCUUCAAAGUAGCUUUCUCUACGUUUAAAACGAUAAAAGCAGUUUCUCUGAGCUGUUGUUUACCUUUUCUUUAGCAUUCUUUCUUUUACAACAUAAAUCUUUUUCUAAUGGUUCCUGUAACUCCAAAAAUGAUUGCUCUGUUUAUAUACAAUAAUAUAUACAAUAAAAAUUUUAUAUAAGUAUAGCUCUAAACAAUCAAAUUAAAGGGCACUUCAAGAAUUUCACAAGAAGAAGUUGUUUUUGAUGUAUCUUAAGCUCAAAAUGCAUGUAUAUUAGAAAAAAAAAUGGAUUUUAAUUUUUAAGAUUUCCAAGUUUUCAUAAAUAUGCUCGAUCUACACUAUUUUUUAAGCUUUAAAUAUCAUAAUUAGAUAUAAAAAUAUAAAUGUAUUUCAAGGCAAUCACAAAGGGUAUACUUCACCUACUGCAUAAAACUUAUAUACUUUCUUUUAAACUUAUAUACUUUCUUUUAUCCAACCUUCCAUUCUAAAGGGGGAGUUAAGAUUGUCCCAAUCACAAUGUCAUGUCUCUACACUACUUUAUUUUUAAUUUUUUUUCUAUAAACUAUUUUUACAUCAAAUUUUGGACAUCCAAUCUACUAUUGAACGACAUCGGAUCCUCUAUUGAACUUGCAUUAGCGAAAAAUAUUUCCAAUAAAAUAAAAUGACCAAAAUACCCCUAAAAGUUUCAAGGGGUAUUUUGGUCAUUAUAUUUUAUCAAAAAAUAUUUUUAAUAUUUUUUAUAGGUGCUCCCCAAUGAGAAGAUGGCAUGUACCAAAUUUCAUAUUCAUACAAUUUAUAUAAAAAAAUUAAAAAUAAAAUACUUUGAGACAUCGGAUCUAAGAUCAAAUAGUGAGUGACUCUUUUUAUCAAAAUUGGACGGCUGGAUGGUAAGGGAAGAAGCAUAAAUCUUCUAGCUGUUGGAUUAAGUGUUUCUAAAUAAUGAAUCCACCAAAAUCAAUUAAAACACAAUUAGCAAAUAAUAGUAGAAUAAGUUGAAGAAACUAAUAAUUAAAUAAACAUAUAAAUAUAUUCAAAAUUCUCACCGAUCACCUGCGCUACCUCAAAUAGAGCCGAUGUAUUA